CCUCUGGUAGCUCAGUUGGUAGAGCGGUGGACUGUAGAUCCAUAGGUCGAUGGUUCAAAUCCGGCCCGGAGGA
rnacentral:tRNA from 1 species